rfam:Cucumis melo, WGS project CAJI01000000 data, contig: 08196
UGGCUGUAGCUAAAUUAGAUUUGAGAAGUUAACUGGCCGGUUGCUGUUAUCUGUCAACAAAUCUGCUUACCGAAGUUCUUUUACAU